CUUAUAUACAUAAUUUCUCCAAAAUUUGGAAACUGUGUUCCCUCCCACACCUCCAAUAGUCUCCACUAUUAUCAUCGUCUUCUAGAUCUUCUGCGAUGCCCUGGAGAUUAAGGAUUUGAUUCCAUGACAGAGAGGAGGUACAUUUCGAUGGAACUUUGAGAAUAAAAACUAGUCUAAAGAAAUAUGAAAACAUCA